rnacentral:sRNA from 1 species
ACAGCAUCCCACAUCCUGUGCCUGCCCGACAACUCCCUUCGUAUCCUCCUCUGUUACACACUGGAGCCCCAUCACACGCUCUCUUCACCAUCAUUCCCCUUGUCCCUGUCACACACUCCAUUUCCCCAAACACAGAUGGGCUUCCUACACCACAGGCCCUGGGUUCCCCAUUAAACGCCUCAUGCUCCCGCCUCACUGUCCCUACUUGGGGUCCCUGCCACUCCCCUAGGCUCAUCCCUUGCUGUGUGCCUCGUUGAGGCCCGCUUUUGCUGUGUCCACAGAGUGCAUCGGAUGGCUUCUGGAAAUCUGUGGCCACUCGAGUGCCCAAGGAGCCCCCUGAGAUUCGAAUCCUCAACCCAUAUUUCAUCCAGGAGGCCGCCUUCACCCUCAUUGGCCUGCCCUUCAACAAUGGCCUCAUGGGCCGGGGGAACAUCCCUACCCUUGGCAGUGUGGCAGUGACCAUGGCACUACACGGCUGUGACGAGGUGGCAGUCGCAGGAUUUGGCUAUGACAUGAGCACACCCAACGCACCCCUGCACUACUAUGAGACCGUUCGCAUGGCAGCCAUCAAAGAGUCCUGGACACACAAUAUCCAGCGAGAGAAAGAGUUUCUGCGGAAGCUGGUGAAAGCUCGCGUCAUCACUGAUCUAAGCAGUGGCAUCUGAGUGGGCCCAGCACAUGGCCAUAGAGGCCCAGGCACCACCAGGAGCAGCAGCCAGCACCACCUACACAGGAGUCUUCAGACCCAGAGAAGGACGGUGCCAAGGGCCCCAGGGGCAGCAAGGCCUUGGUGAGGCAGCCAGAGCUGUGCCUGCUCAGCAGCCAGUCUCAGAGACCAGCACUCAGCCUCAUUCAGCAUGGGUCCUUGAUGCCAGAGGGCCAGCAGG